rnacentral:rRNA from 1 species
AUUGAACGCUGGCGGCAUGCCUUACACAUGCAAGUCGAACGGUAACGGGCCUUAGGUUGCCGCCGCGUUGCGGACGGGCGAAUAAUACAGCGGUACGUGCCCGACCGUGGGGGGGAACGAGGCGAAAACUUUAAUAGUACGCCAAUCGAUCUUCGUAUGGAAGCAGGAGACCGCAGGGCCUUCGGGGCUCUGGGCGUCCGAUGGCGGAUUAGGUAGUUGGCGGGAUAAAGGCUUACCAAGCCGACGAUCUGUAGCUGGUCUGAGAGGAUGACCAGCCACACUGGGACUGAGACACGGUCCAGACUCCUACGGGAGGCAGCAGUGGGGAAUAUUGGACAAUGGGCGCAAGCCUGAUGCAGCCAUGCCGCGUGUAUGAUGAAGGCCUUCGGGUUGUAAACUGCUUUUGUACGGAACGAAAAGCCUUCUUUUAAUACAGGAGGUCCAUGACGGUACCGGAAGAAUAAGCACCGGCUAACUCCGUG